GCGGGAGUAACUCAGCCGGUAGAGUGUCUGCUUCCCAAGCAGGAUGUCGCGGGUUCGAGCCCCGUCUCCCGCUCCA
rnacentral:tRNA from 1 species